CAGGCCGCUGGGAUCCCUUCGGGGUGACCUUGGCGCUGACGAGUGGCGGACGGGUGAGUAAUACUUAGGAAUCUGCCCAGUAGCGGGGGACAACUCGAGGAAACUCGAGCUAAUACCGCAUACGCCCUACGGGGGAAAGCGGGGGAUCUUCGGACCUCGCACUAUUGGAUGAGCCUAAGUCGGAUUAGCUUGUUGGUGAGGUAAUGGCUCACCAAGGCAACGAUCCGUAGCUGGUCUGAGAGGACGACCAGCCACACUGGGACUGAGACACGGCCCAGACUCCUACGGGAGGCAGCAGUGGGGAAUAUUGGACAAUGGGCGCAAGCCUGAUCCAGCAAUACCGCGUGUGUGAAGAAGGCCUGCGUGUUGUAAAGCACUUUCAGUGGGGAAGAAAUGUCUGAGGUUAAUACCCUCGGAUCUUGACGUAACCUACAGAAGAAGCACCGGCUAACUCCGUGCCAGCAGCCGCGGUAAUACGGGGGGUGCAAGCGUUAAUCGGAAUUACUGGGCGUAAAGCGCGCGUAGGCGGCUUUGUAAGUCGGAUGUGAAAGCCCUGGGCUCA
rnacentral:rRNA from 1 species